rnacentral:rRNA from 1 species
AGUGAACGCUGGCGGUAGGCCUAACACAUGCAAGUCGAACGGCAGCACAGUAAGAGCUUGCUCUUACGGGUGGCGAGUGGCGGACGGGUGAGGAAUACAUCGGAAUCUACUUUUUCGUGGGGGAUAACGUAGGGAAACUUACGCUAAUACCGCAUACGACCUACGGGUGAAAGCAGGGGAUCUUCGGACCUUGCGCGAUUGAAUGAGCCGAUGUCGGAUUAGCUAGUUGGCGGGGUAAAGGCCCACCAAGGCGACGAUCCGUAGCUGGUCUGAGAGGAUGAUCAGCCACACUGGAACUGAGACACGGUCCAGACUCCUAUGGGAGGCAGCAGUGGGGAAUAUUGGACAAUGGGCGCAAGCCUGAUCCAGCCAUACCGCGUGGGUGAAGAAGGCCUUCGGGUUGUAAAGCCCUUUUGUUGGGAAAGAAAAGCAGCAGGUUAAUACCCCGCUGUUCUGACGGUACCCAAAGAAUAAGCACCGGCUAACUUCGU